rnacentral:rRNA from 1 species
UCCAGACUCCUACGGGAGGCAGCAGUGAGGAAUAUUGGUCAAUGGGAGGAAUCCUGAACCAGCCAUGCCGCGUGCAGGACGACGGCUCUACGAGUUGUAAACUGCUUUUGUACCGGGGUAAAAUGCCUUACGAGUAGGGUUUUGAAAGUACGGUACGAAUAAGGAUCGGCUAACUCCGUGCCAGCAGCCGCGGUAAUACGGAGGGUGCAAGCGUUGUCCGGAAUCAUUGGGCGUAAAGAGUUCGUAGGCGGUAUGUUAAGUCUGGUGUUAAAUGCAGAAGCUCAACUUCUGUUCGGCACUGGAUACUGGCAAACUAGAAUGCGGUAGAGGUAAAGGGAAUUCCUGGUGUAGCGGUGAAAUGCUUAGAUAUCAGGAGGAACAUCGGUGGCGUAAGCGCUUUACUGGGCCGUAAUUGACGCUGAGGAACGAAAGCCAGGGUAGCAAAUGGGAUUAGAAACCCUAGUA